GUAAAUGGUAAUAUGCUCUAAACCGCUCUGGUGACAAACUUUGCUGCCUUGUUUCCAAUCGUCCACAUGGCUGCGAGAACCUAUUCAAGGCCAUCUGGGACUGCCUCCUGAGGGCCUUCAGGCGUGUCAAGGCUACCUGUGUCCUGCAUAACUUAAUGGACACGAGGACCAGGAGGGGGAUCUACAGCUUGCCGCCGUGUGCCAGAGGAGAGGUCUACAGGAUGCUUCAAGGAUGGGGGCAAACAACUCAGCACAGGAGGCAAUCCAUGUGCGGGAGAUCUUCACCACCUUCAAAGAGGGUGAGGGUGCUGCCUGUACAAAAACAAAAAAGGCUCUUUCAAGAGUCGCCCAUAUUGAGAACAAUUACACACAUCUCUCGUCUCCAGUACUCUUCCCUGCCGCUGGAGGGCCCAGCAGACAGACUGAUUGGAAAACAAACAGCACAAUAUUCUAUGUCUGGCUUGAAUAUGGGUAUAAGGCAAUAA
rnacentral:lncRNA from 1 species